GAUCUGGCUCAGGAUGAACGCUAGCUACAGGCUUAACACAUGCAAGUCGAGGGGCAGCAUGGUCUUAGCUUGCUAAGGCCGAUGGCGACCGGCGCACGGGUGAGUAACACGUAUCCAACCUGCCGUCUACUCUUGGACAGCCUUCUGAAAGGAAGAUUAAUACAAGAUGGCAUCAUGAGUUCACAUGUUCACAUGAUUAAAGGUAUUCCGGUAGACGAUGGGGA
rnacentral:rRNA from 1 species